rnacentral:rRNA from 1 species
CCUACGGGAGGCAGCAGUGGGGAAUUUUGGACAAUGGGCGCAAGCCUGAUCCAGCUAUUCCGCGUGUGGGAUGACGGCCUUCGGGUUGUAAACCACUUUUGUAGAGAACGAAAAGUCUGUUGAUAAUACCGAUAGAUGAUGACGGUACUCUAAGAAUAAGCACCGGCUAACUACGUGCCCGCAGCCGCGGUAAUACGUAGGGUGCGAGCGUUAAUCGGGAUUACUGGGCGUAAAGGGGGUGCAGUCGGUCUUGCAAGGUGGAUGGGAAAGCCCCGGGCUUAAACUGGGAAGGGCAUACAUGACUGGAAGACUAGAGUGCGUCAGAGGGAGGUGGAAGUCCAAGUGUAGCAGUGAAAUGCGUAGAUAUCUCGAAGAACACCGAUGGCGAAGGCAGCGCCCUGGGACGCAACUGACGCUCAUACACGAAAGCGUGGGGAGCAAACAGGAUUAGAUACCCCAGUAGUC